rnacentral:tRNA from 1 species
GGGCGUAUAGCUCAAUGGUAGAGCGGUGGCCUUUUAAGCCAAGGGUUCUAGGUUCGAGUCCUGGUACGCCUA